GACGAACGCCGGCGGCGUGCCUAACACAUGCAAGUCGAGCGAGGGACUUCGGUCCCUAGCGGCGGACGGGUGAGUAACACGUGGGUAACCUGCCUCAUAGAGGGGGAUAGCCUCCCGAAAGGGAGAUUAAUACCGCAUAAUAUUAUGCUUUCGCAUGGAAGUAUAAUCAAAGGAGCAAUCCGCUAUGAGAUGGACCCGCGGCGCAUUAGCUAGUUGGUGAGGUAACGGCUCACCAAGGCCACGAUGCGUAGCCGACCUGAGAGGGUGAUCGGCCACAUUGGAACUGAGACACGGUCCAGACUCCUACGGGAGGCAGCAGUGGGGAAUAUUGCACAAUGGGGGAAACCCUGAUGCAGCAACGCCGCGUGAGUGAUGAAGGCCUUCGGGUUGUAAAGCUCUGUCUUUUGGGACGAUAAUGACGGUACCAAAGGAGGAAGCCACGGCUAACUACGUGCCAGCCGCCGCGGUAACAC
rnacentral:rRNA from 1 species